CUCCUUGUACCGGUAGCGGGGUUGGGGACGGAAGCCUUCGGUCGGUGGAGAGGAGAAAGGGAGAGGCCUUCGGGCGGUGGACGGGGAAGAGAGGGAGUCCUUCGGGCGGUGGAGGGGGUGGAGAGCGAGGCCUUCGGGCGGUGGAGAGCGGGGAGGGGGGAGGCCUUCGGGCGGUGGGAGGGGGAGAGAGGGAGGCCUUUGGGCGGUGGGGGCCACGGGGAGGGUGGUCUUCGGACUACGUGCGGGACAGGAGGUCAGGGCUGGCAAGUCCCUCAGGCCUCCCUCGUUGCCCCAGCCUCGCGGGCCGCCUAACUGCCCCGUUCCAAGGGUGCCACCGGACCCCGCUGGAGAGGAACUUCUCCGUUGGCUGGAUUUCAUCACCACCCAUUCCCGAUUCCACGUUUCCUUUAAGCGGGGCUGGCGGAGCCGCAAGGCGGCAAGGAACUGGAUUGCGAUUGGUCAGCACGUGCCUCGGUCGGCGGUACAAUUGGCUGAGGCGCUGGGCCUUGGGAAGCAUUCCCCGACGGGAUUGGUCGUCGCUCUCGCAGAGCCCGCCUCCCGCAGUACAAGCGGCCCCCGGGUCGGGUGGGAGGAGGGGACUCCGGGAGGAGGAACAUGGCGGUGGCGGACCUCGCUCUCAUUCCUGAUGUGGACAUCGACUCCGACGGCGUCUUCAAGUAUGUGCUGAUCCGAGUCCACUCGGCUCCCCGCUCCGGGGCUCCGGCUGCAGAGAGCAAGGAGAUCGUGCGCGGCUACAACGGACAUCUACGACAAAGUGUCGGGCGACAUGCAGAAGCAAGGCUGCGACUGUGAGUGUCUGGGCGGCGGGCGCAUCUCCCACCAGAGUCAGGACAAGAAGAUUCACGUGUACGGCUAUUCCAUGGCCUAUGGUCCUGCCCAGCACGCCAUUUCAACUGAGAAAAUCAAAGCCAAGUACCCCGACUACGAGGUCACCUGGGCUAACGACGGCUACUGAGCACUCCCAGCCCGGGGCCUGCUGCCUCCAGCAGCCACUUCAGAGCCCCCGCCUUUGCCUGCACUCCUCUUGCAGGGCUGGCCCUGCCUGCUCCUGCGGCAGCCUCUGGUGACGUGCUGUCCACCAGGCCUUGGAGACAGGCUAGCCUGGCCACAGAAUUAAACGUGUUGCCACACCUGCCGGCUUCUGAACUCUG
rnacentral:lncRNA from 1 species